rnacentral:lncRNA from 1 species
GAAAUGCCGGAACAGUGGAUGGCAAGGCCGUCCUAUACGGAACCCGAGACACCACGAGCAAAACCAUCAAUAACGAAACCACAAAGGUCUUCAUUUUUACCUACAGGAGCAAAAUAGGAAACAAGAUCAAAGCAAAGACAUGGUGAUUGGAGGACAAACAAUUCCGAGAGAAAUACAAAAAACCCAAACCUAGAACACAAGCGUGGAAACUGGAAAGCAAUUACGUUUAUUACAGAUCACCGAGUAACAGAUUAAAUUCCAAUCCAAUAAAUCAACAAAAGAAAGCAAAAUUGGAAUAUCAAAUAGAUUAGAAAUCCAAGGUGAAAAGAAGGAAGGAGGAGGGAUCUUGAGCUUAGACUGUGAAUUCAUAAAACCCCAUGUCUAGGUUGAAAACAUAGAAGAAAGCAGAGAGAGAGAUAGGGAGAAUUUCUUACCACAAAGGCCCCAGGAGUUGGAUCCAGAAGAAUGGAUUUCGAUGGCUUUCUUCUCCCAAGGCUUCCUUAUUUGCGUAGAGACUGAUGAUAAGACACGCCAAGAGAAAGAAGAUCGGCCUAUGAUAAAACUUCACUGCUGUAAUGUUAUUCCACCC